rnacentral:rRNA from 1 species
AGAGUUUGAUCAUGGCUCAGAACGUACGCUGGCGGCACGCCUAAUACAUGCAAGUCGAACGAAGUAGCAAUACUUAGUGGCAGACGGGUGAGUAACAUGUAGGUAUCUUCCCUUUGGUGAGGAAUAACACGAGGAAACUUGUGCUAAUACCUCAUAAGUCUUUACGGAGAAAGNUNNAUGCGCCGAUGGAUGAGCCUGCACUUGAUUAGUUUGUUGGUGGGGUAAUGGCCUACCAAGACAAUGAUCAAUAGCUGAUUUGAGAGGAUGAUCAGCCACAUUGGGACUGAGACACGGCCCAAACUCCUACGGGAGGCAGCAGUAGGGAAUCUUGCACAAUGGGGGAAACCCUGAUGCAGCGAUGCCGCGUGAGUGAAGAAGGCCUUUGGGUUGUAAAGCUCUUUCGUCGGGGAAGAAAAUGACUGUACCCGAAUAAGAAGGUCCGGCUAACUUCGUGCCAGCAGCCGCGGUAAUACGAAGGGACCUAGCGUAGUUCGGAAUUACUGGGCUUAAAGAGUUCGUAGGUGGUUAAAAAAGUUGGUGGUGAAAUCCCAGAGCUUAACUCUGGAACUGCCAUCAAAACUUUUUAGCUAGAGUAUGAUAGAGGAAAGCAGAAUUUCUAGUGUAGAGGUGAAAUUCGUAGAUAUUAGAAAGAAUACCAAUUGCGAAGGCAGCUUUCUGGAUCACUACUGACGCUGAGGAACGAAAGCAUGGGUAGCGAAGAGGAUUAGAUACCCUCGUAGUCCAUGCCGUAAACGAUGUGUGUUAGACGUUGGAAAUUUAUUUUCAGUGUCGCAGCGAAAGCAAUAAACACACCGCUUGGGAAGUACGACCGCAAGGUUAAAACUCAAAUGAAUUGACGGGGACCCGCACAAGUAGUGGAGCAUGUGGUUUAAUUCGAAGAUACGCGCAGAACCUUACCAACACUUGACAUGUUCGUCGCGACUUUAAGAGAUUAAAGUUUUCGGUUCGGCCGGACGAAACACAGGUGCUGCAUGGCUGUCGUCAGCUCGUGUCGUGAGAUGUUGGGUUAAGUCCCGCAACGAGCGCAACCCUCACUUUUAGUUGCCAUCAUUAAGUUGGGCACUCUGAAAGAACUGCCAGUGAUAAGCUGGAGGAAGGUGGGGAUGACGUCAAGUCCUCAUGGCCCUUACGUGUUGGGCUACACACGUGCUACAAUGGCAUUUACAAUAGGAAGCAAAACGGCGACGUUAAGCAAAUCCUAAAAAAAUGCCUCAGUUCGGAUUGUACUCUGCAACUCGAGUACAUGAAGCUGGAAUUACUAGUAAUCGCGGAUCAGCGCGCCGCGGUGAAUACGUUCCCGGGUCUUGUACACACCGCCCGUCACACCAUGGGAGUUGGUUCUACCUUAAGGCAAAGGUUAAAAACUUUGACCACGGUAUAGUCAGCGACUGGGGUGAAGUCGUAACAAGGUAACC